AUGGAAACAGAAGUCCGCUUAACCAGUGUCUUGGGGAAAAACUGCCCUCCGAUAGACACCUUAUUCGCUUUCCUUCCCAGCCAUCGGCGCAUCGAUCUAUUGGACUGCUGCAAUGGCCUCCUCCUCUCUCGCUGGUACGACGUUUCGGCUCUUGGUGACGAGUUUUGUUACAUCGUGUGCAGUCCUGCCAUGAAGGAGUGGGUUUCGUUGCCCGAUCGCAGCCAUGAAAACAAGGUGGGCAUAGAGCGUCUGGGUUUCGAUCUGACCGUGUCUUCCCACUUCUAUGUGUUUGUGUUACUAGAGGAUGUCAACUUUAACGACUACCUUGCUGAAGUGGAAGUGUAUUCAUCGGAAACUAGGAGAUGGAUUUACAAGGAAAUUGACUACCCAGCAGGAAGCACAAUUCUUUUGUUCCUUCCUUUUUUUGGGCAGUCUACCGCUCUCUUCCUCAAUGGCUGUUUGCAUUUUUACUCCAACGGCAAAAGGUCACCCUUUUUUAUAGGUGUGGUGGACACGGUGGGGGAAACAUCGAUGAAUUUCCAUAUCCCCGCUCAUUUGAAUAAAGGUUUUAUUCAGCACUCACAGGACUGCCUGCAUUAUGCCAAGUUCGAGAGAGGUGAAGGUGAUGUGGUUCGACGAGUACUCUAUGUUCUUGAUGACUAUGACCGCAAAGAGUGGAAAUUGAAGCAUAGUGUUGAAACUUCAGACAUAUUUGGAGGGACAAAUGUUACUGAUUCCGAUUUGUUUGCGAUUCAUCCGGUCGAUUUCCGUUGGGUUGCGAUUCAUCCGGAUUAUAAAUUAAUCUUCUUUACUGUGGAGACAGAUUCCACAUUAAUGUGA
rnacentral:rRNA from 1 species